GCAUAACCCGCACCAUUACGGAUUACACCUUG
rnacentral:scRNA from 1 species